rnacentral:rRNA from 1 species
AGUCGAGGGGCAGCGCAGUGUAGCAAUACAUGGGCGGCGACCGGCAAACGGGUGCGGAACACGUACAGAACCUUCCUUCGAGCGGGGAAUAGCCCAGAGAAAUUUGGAUUAAUACCCCAUAGCAUUGCAGAGUGGCAUCACUUUGCAAUUAAAGAUUUAUCACUUGAAGAUGGCUGUGCGGCUGAUUAGGUAGUUGGCGGGGUAACGGCCCACAAAGCCUGCGAUCAGUAACUGGUGUGAGAGCACGACCAGUCACACGGGCACUGAGACACGGGCCCGACUCCUACGGGAGGCAGCAGUAAGGAAUAUUGGUCAAUGGACGCAAGUCUGAACCAGCCAUGCCGCGUGGAGGAUGAAGGUCCUCUGGAUUGUAAACUUCUUUUAUUUGGGACGAAAAAGGGUCUUUCUAGAUCAACUGACGGUACCAGAUGAAUAAGCACCGGCUAACUCCGUGCCAGCAGCCGCGGUAAUACGGAGGGUGCAAGCGUUAUCCGGAUUCACUGGGUUUAAAGGGUGCGUAGGUGGGUUGGUAAGUCAGUGGUGAAAUCCCCGAGCUUAACUUGGGAACUGCCAUUGAUACUAUCAGUCUUGAAUAUUGUGGAGGUUAGCGGAAUAUGUCAUGUAGCGGUGAAAUGCUUAGAUAUGACAUAGAACACCAAUUGCGAAGGCAGCUGGCUACGCAUAUAUUGACACUGAGGCACGAAAGCGUGGGGAUCAAACAGGAUUAGAUACCCUGGUAGUCCACGCCCUAAACUAUGGAUACUCGACAUCAGCGAUACACUGUUGGUGUCUGAGCGAAAGCAUUAAGUAUCCCACCUGGGAA